GACACAAGCCUUUUAUAACUCCAUUUUUCAG
rnacentral:piRNA from 1 species